rnacentral:rRNA from 1 species
UGGGGAAUAUUGGACAAUGGGGGAAACCCUGAUCCAGCAAUGCCGCGUGUGUGAAGAAGGCCUGAGGGUUGUAAAGCACUUUCAGUGGGGAGGAGGAUUGUUUGGUUAAGAGCUGAAUAAUUGGACGUUACCCACAGAAGAAGCACCGGCUAACUCCGUGCCAGCAGCCGCGGUAAUACGGAGGGUGCGAGCGUUAAUCGGAAUUACUGGGCGUAAAGAGUGCGUAGGUGGUUUAUUAAGUUAUCUGUGAAAUCCCUGGGCUUAACCUGGGCAGGUCAGAUAAGACUGGUAGACUCGAGUAUGGGAGAGGGUAGUGGAAUUUCAGGUGUAGCGGUGAAAUGCGUAGAGAUCUGAAGGAACACCAGUGGCGAAGGCGGCUACCUGGCCCAAUACUGACACUGAGGCACGAAAGCGUGGGGAGCAAACAGG